AACGAACGCUGGCGGCAGGCCUAACACAUGCAAGUCGAACGGAUCCUUCGGGAUUAGUGGCGGACGGGUGAGUAACACGUGGGAACGUGCCCUUUGGUUCGGAACAACUCAGGGAAACUUGAGCUAAUACCGGAUGUGCCCUUCGGGGGAAAGAUUUAUCGCCAUUGGAGCGGCCCGCGUCUGAUUAGCUAGUUGGUGGGGUAAAGGCCCACCAAGGCGACGAUCAGUAGCUGGUCUGAGAGGAUGAUCAGCCACAUUGGGACUGAGACACGGCCCAAACUCCUACGGGAGGCGGCAGUGGGGAAUCUUGCGCAAUGGGCGAAAGCCUGACGCAGCCAUGCCGCGUGAAUGAUGAAGGUCUUAGGAUUGUAAAAUUCUUUCACCGGGGACGAUAAUGACGGUACCCGGAGAAGAAGCCCCGGCUAACUUCGUGCCAGCCGCCGCAGUAACAC
rnacentral:rRNA from 1 species